rnacentral:rRNA from 1 species
UACGUAGGGUGCAAGCGUUAAUCGGAAUUACUGGGCGUAAAGCGUGCGCAGGCGGUUUUAUAAGUUUGUCGUGAAAGCCCCGGGCUCAACCUGGGAAUUGCGAUGAAGACUGUAAGGCUAGAGUGUGUCAGAGGGGGGUAGAAUUCCACGUGUAGCAGUGAAAUGCGUAGAUAUGUGGAGGAACACCGAUGGCGAAGGCAGCCCCCUGGGAUAACACUGACACUCAUGCACGAAAGCGUGGGGAGCAAACAGG